GUAGGUGGCAAGCGUUGUCCGGAAUUAUUGGGCGUAAAGCGCGCGCGGGCGGUUCUUUAAGUCUGAUGUGAAAGCCCACGGCUCAACCGUGGAGGGUCAUUGGAAACUGGAGAACUUGAGUACAGAAGAGGAAAGCGGAAUUCCACGUGUAGCGGUGAAAUGCGUAGAGAUGUGGAGGAACACCAGUGGCGAAGGCGGCUUUCUGGUCUGUAACUGACGCUGUGGCGCGAAAGCGUGGGGAGCAAACAGGGAUUAGAUACCCUGGUAGUCCACGCCGUAAACGAUGAGUGCUAAGUGUUAGGGGGUUUCCCGCCCCUUAGUGCUGCAGCUAACGCAUUAAGCACUCCGCCUGGGGAUACGGCCGCAAGGCUG
rnacentral:rRNA from 1 species